ACGGAGGAGCCUCGCGGGCUACAGUCCGUGGGGUCACAAAGAGUCGGACAUGACUGAGCAUGCAUACAUGCACACCUUUACAUCUCCGAGUGUUCUCUGCAGUGAGGCUGAAACUUCUCCCAGACAGACCAAACUGUGGCCCUUUCCCUUGGUCGGUCUUGCUACAAGCAACGGAGCCAGAGUCCAGAGUGGGUCAAGCCGGAGAGUGGCUUGAAUACAGAACCACCUGAGGGGUCUGGAGCCCUGGGAGGAGCUGGCUGCCGGAGGACAGAGGGUGCUCUGGACACAUCACUGCUGACCUCAGUCACCAUCCCAUGGUUGUAUUACUUAGGCGAAGGGCUCUGCACACGGAGCUGCUCUCACAUAUGGAGGAGGUUUACAAUGCAGGAAACCCGCCACUAAAGGCCGCCUGUCGAGCCGCAGCGUCGGAUGUAAACACAAUACAUCACGAUCUCAGCCAGGACUUUCUCCGGCCAUGCUCCUUCGCUUCUCAUGCUCCUAACAGGCCGAGUGAGAGCUCCCUCACUUCUCCACCCUGCCUGGAGAGCUCUCGUCUCACAGGAAGGUGUGAUCACCCUCCCGGGUGGGGCUGCCUCUUCCUUCACUGGCAUUUAGAACCUUGCUCCUCAACGUUUGGUCUAGCCCACAUCAAAGCAUGUCAGCAUGCCUGGGAAGUUGUCAGAAAUGUAAAGUCUUAGCCCCACUGGCCCUUUGAAUCAGAAUCUGCAUUUUUAACAAGACUUCCCAGGGAAUUCCCUCCAGGUCAAAGUGUGAGAGCACUGAACCAGAACUCAGCUUGAAGGUCACCACCUUCCUGUCACCUUGGAUGCCUUCUCUGAGCAUCACAGCCUCCGAUGCAGGGUUCCUCCCACUCCUAACCAUCUCCUCCAAAGUUUGCUCUCUGCAUAGAACUUAAUAAAACUGGACAUUUCCGUUUUACUUUCA